ACCGUGAGGGAAUGGUGAAAAGUACCCCGGGAGGGGAGUGAAAUAGUACCUGAAACCGUGUGCUUGUAAGCCGUCAGAGCCUUGUGGGGUGAUGGCGUGCCUUUUGAAGAAUGAGCCUGCGAGUUAGUGAUACGUGGCGUGCUUAACCCGUGUGGGGUAUGCGUAGCGAAAGCGAGUCUGAAAUAUUGGCGUUUGUCGCGUGUUCUAGACCCGAAGCGGGGUGAUCUACCCAUGGUCAGGUUGAAGCAGAGGUAAGACUGUGUGGAGGACCGAACCCACCAGGGUUGAAAACCUGGGGGAUGAGCUGUGGGUAGGGGUGAAAGGCCAAUCAAACUCCGUGAUAGCUGGUUCUCCCCGAAAUGCAUUUAGGUGCAGCGUCGCGUGGUCCCUGGUGGAGGUAGAGCUACUGGAUGGCCGAUGGGCCCUGUGGGUUACUGACGUCAGCCAAACUCCGAAUGCCAUUAGGUGUAGCGUGGCAGUGAGACUGCGGGGGAUAAGCUUCGUAGUCGAGAGGGAAACAGCCCAGAUCAUCAGCUAAGGCCCCUAAGCGUACGCUAAGUGGGAAAGGAUGUGGAGUCGCGGUGACAACCAGGAGGUUGGCUUAGAAGCAGCCAUCCUUGAAAGAGUGCGUAAUAGCUCACUGGUCAAGUGGUUCUGCGCCGACAAUGUAGCGGGGCUCAAGCGUACCGCCGAAGCUGUGGCAACAACACGCGAUGCUGGUGCCAGGAACUGGAGUGCUGGUGUGUUGUUGGGUAGGGGAGCGUCCUGCACGAGGUGAAGCCUGGAGGGAACUUCUGGUGGAUUGUGUGGGAGUGAGAAUGCAGGCAUGAGUAACGAAUCUGCGGUGAGAAUCCGCAGCGCCGAUUGACUAAGGGUUCCAGGGCUAGGUUUAUCCGCCCUGGGUUAGUCGGGUCCUAAGGCGAGGCCGACAGGCGUAGUCGAUGGACAACCAGUUGAUAUUCUGGUACCGCGUUAUGACCGCCCAUGCUGAAGUCAUUGUGCUAACCAAUCUGCCUACGCCACCUCUAAGCCUUCGGGUUUGUUGGUGUGUGUGGGUCUUGGGGUCCCGGUGAUGGUAGGCAAGCGUGUUAACAGGGGUGACGCAGACAGGUAGCUGCAGUGCGCCGAUGGUUGUGCGUAUUUAAGGUUGUGGCCCGCCUCCCAGGUAAAUCCGGGUGGCAUGAGGGGUGAGAACUGAUGAGGGACACACGCGUGUGUGGACUUGUGGUGAUCCUAUGCUGCCGAGAAAAGCCUCGACGUGAGGGCAUGACGCGCCCGUACCCUAAACCGACUCAGGUGGUCAGGUAGAGUAUACCGAGGCGUUCGAGUGAAUCGUGGUUAAGGAACUCGGCAAAAUUCCUCCGUAACUUCGGGAUAAGGAGGACCCCGUGACUUGCUCCCACCGUGCGUGGGUGUUGGGUUGUGGGGUCGCAGAGAAUAGGGAGAAGCGACUGUUUAUCAAAAACACAGGUGCGUGCGAAGCCGUAAGGCGAUGUAUACGCACUGACGCCUGCCCGGUGCUGGAAGGUUAAGAGGAACCGUCAACACUCCUUUGGGGUGUGAAGCGGUGAAUUUAAGCCCCAGUAAACGGCGGUGGUAACUAUAACCAUCCUAAGGUAGCGAAAUUCCUUGUCGGGUAAGUUCCGACCUGCACGAAUGGCGUAACGACUUCUCCGCUGUCUCAACCGCGAACUCGGUGAAAUUGCAGUACGAGUAAAGAUGCUCGUUUCGCGCAGAAGGACGGAAAGACCCCGGGACCUUUACUAUAGCUUGGUAUUGGUGUUCGCUUGGACUUGUGUAGGAUAGGUGGGAGACUGUGAAGCUGCCGCGCCAGCGGUGGUGGAGUCGUCGUUGAAAUACCAUUCUGGUUCAAGCGGUCACCUCAACCUAGACCCGUGAUCCGGGUUGGGGACAGUGCCUGGUGGGUAGUUUAACUGGGGCGGUUGCCUCCUAAAAUGUAACGGAGGCGCUCAAAGGUUCCCUCAGCCUGGUUGGUAAUCAGGUGGCGAGUGCAAGUGUACAAGGGAGCUUGACUGUGAGACCGACGGGUCGAGCAGGUGCGAAAGCAGGAACUAGUGAUCCGGCCAUGGCACGUGGGUGCGUGGUCGCUCAACGGAUAAAAGGUACCCCGGGGAUAACAGGCUGAUCUUGCCCAAGAGUCCAUAUCGACGGCAUGGUUUGGCACCUCGAUGUCGGCUCGUCGCAUCCUGGGGCUGGAG
rnacentral:rRNA from 1 species